UAAGGACAGCUUUUGAAAGCUCCAUAAGAAAUACACGUAACGGACCAGAACAACAAUAAUCGACCGUUGGGUAAGGACAUGACCUUGAAUUUUGGCUUGAAACUGUAGUGGCAAACCUUGUUACUAAAUAAAAUUUACCACCAUGUCAACAUUGUGCGUCAAAUUUGACAUUUUAGGUGUUUGGCAUUUAAUAUUGUAACUGUGAUUUAUUAUUUUUACUGAAUAGAAAAUGCGCGUUCGAACAAAUAAAUAGAAUAAAUAAUCUUGUGGAAACUGUACACAAGGCACAGGGGUGCCGUAUGCUGGUCUGGACACAGUUACGAGGAAUGCUUUUAUAUAUCGGCCACAUGAAGGUAAAAUUGAGUUGGUAGAAAAUAGUGAAGCAAAUCGUUUUUCUAGGGCUGCAACAUAAAAGGUGAAUGCUUCAUGUAGCAUCUUAAGCCCGCCACUCACGUUUCAACGCCGUAGAACAAUUGUGUUGGAUAUGAACAAAUUGAAGUGUUUUUGAAUGUCUGUGUAUGAGAUCAAGCAAAUCGGUUGGAUGUGGACGGUCGGUGAACAAGUCUGUCUGCAGCAGUACAAUCGUUUUGAAUUGGAUGGAAAUUUGAUCAUGUGUGGACAUGACUCGACAGUGUAUGUUAUUCAAACCAUGAGAGCAGCUAUAAAAGUACAUUUUCGUCAUUUUGUCGGACAUGUUGUCAUCACGAUCGCUUUUUAACAGAAUUGUACAACAGUUGCAUCCACUACAAUCGUACUGGGACGGUGGAACGUGAAUGGCCAGCUUUAGGAUUACCAAAAUGGUGGGUCAUCAUCAAAGGCGUUGAAGUGACAGAGAAGUUUAUCAUAUAUGAUGACAUUACAUGCAACGGCAAAAUAACUACAUGUUUCACAGAUUCCAAGGGAAAUUUAAAGAAGCCCCUGAAGCAGAUUUUUUCAUUGUGCCUGCAAUCACGAGGUGGUCUACCACUGUAGUCCAUGUUACUAUGAAGAGGUUCUCAGAAUCACUUCACUAAUUUAACUAACAACAAAAAUUCAACCAAAAACAUCAAAAUACUUUUCCCAUGUUCCCAUGGAAGAUGAAAACAACAGCGUUCACUUUCUGACUCUUCAAACGGUUCACACUUGGCGAAAAUUGAAGGCAUUGACAAAAUAGGUAGUUGAUAUGUUUAUGUUGAAAUUAACUCGGUAAAGUGAUAGACUUUUAUUUAUGAAUAAAAUAAAUAUAAGCACAA